GACGAACGCUGGCGGCGUGCUUAACACAUGCAAGUCGAACGGAAAGGCCCUGCUUUUGUGGGGUGCUCGAGUGGCGAACGGGUGAGUAACACGUGAGUAACCUGCCCUUGACUUUGGGAUAACUUCAGGAAACUGGGGCUAAUACCGGAUAGGAGCUCCUGCUGCAUGGUGGGGGUUGGAAAGUUUCGGCGGUUGGGGAUGGACUCGCGGCUUAUCCGCUUGUUGGUGGGGUAGUGGCUUACCAAGGCUUUGACGGGUAGCCGGCCUGAGAGGGGGACCGGCGACAUUGGGACUGAGAUACGGCCCAGACUCCUACGGGAGGCAGCAGUGGGGAAUAUUGCACAAUGGGCGGAAGCCUGAUGCAGCAACGCCGCGUGCGGGAUGACGGCCUUCGGGUUGUAAACCGCUUUCGCCUGUGACGAAGCGUGAGUGACGGUAAUGGGUAAAGAAGCACCGGCUAACUACGUG
rnacentral:rRNA from 1 species